rnacentral:lncRNA from 1 species
CAUUUUUUAUAUCCAUUUAACCAUUUCAUUUUUUUAACCAAUAUCCAUUUUUGAAUCCAUUUUCAAUAUCAAAACCAUUUUCAAUAUUCACAUCCAUUUUGUAUAACCAAAUUAAUCCAUAUUUCAAUUUUAAAAUCCAUUUUCUCUUUUAUCCAUUUAUGCUAACCACAUCCAAUUUUAAUUAUCCGCAUUCAAUUGAACCAAUAGCUACCUACAAAACAACAAUUCGCAACUCAAAGCUGCUACAGUUUAAGUCGAACACAACUUGAAAUGCAACCAAGGAAUGAAACGUAAAGCAAGGCGUUAUGAGCUGCAAGCUACAACAACACCAAAACGCAUAAGUCAGCUCCAAACGCACACCAGAUGCUAUGAACACAAGCCACCAAGCCAAACAACUUGCAAUUCCAUAUUGAGACGCAGCUAACGCUUCCAAGCCGGUGAACCGCAAAGCAAAACGUGAGCCAACAACAAAUUGCACAAAUUAGCUUGCAUAAAAUCCAAUUCACUGCAUAAAUAAGAAUGAACCUGCAUAAUUUCAAGAAAAAGAUAACAAAUGGAAUAACAGAUUCAACUUCCUAACAAACUUCUAAUCUCACUCUCAUAACUCUAUAAAAUCAAUCUUCUUCUCAUCUCCUAGAUUCUUCUUCUUCAACCUCAUCGCAUUUCUAACCAACCUUUCUCCCAUCCAUCACCGUAACAAUCUCCGCCUUCAACCAAAACCUUCAAUCAAACCUCCAUUUCCAAUCCAC